rnacentral:rRNA from 1 species
GUAUAAGAGACAGCAGUAGCCGCGGUAAUACAGAGGGUGCGAGCGUUAAUCGGAUUUACUGGGCGUAAAGCGUGCGUAGGCGGCUUCUUAAGUCGGAUGUGAAAUCCCUGAGCUUAACUUAGGAAUUGCAUUCGAUACUGGGAAGCUAGAGUAUGGGAGAGGAUGGUAGAAUUCCAGGUGUAGCGGUGAAAUGCGUAGAGAUCUGGAGGAAUACCGAUGGCGAAGGCAGCCAUCUGGCCUAAUACUGACGCUGAGGUACGAAAGCAUGGGGAGCAAACAGGAUUAGAUACCCGGGUAGUCCCUGUCUCUUAUAC